rnacentral:rRNA from 1 species
UGGGGAAUAUUGGACAAUGGGGGCAACCCUGAUCCAGCAAUGCCGCGUGUGUGAAGAAGGCCUUAGGGUUGUAAAGCACUUUAGGCUGGGAGGAAGGUGUGUUGUUUAAGAGAUGAUACAUUUGACUGUACCGGCAGAAUAAGCACCGGCUAACUCUGUGCCAGCAGCCGCGGUAAUACAGAGGGUGCGAGCGUUAAUCGGAGUUACUGGGCGUAAAGGGCGCGUAGGCGGUUGUAUAAGAUUGAUGUGAAAUCCCUGGGCUUAACCUAGGAACUGCAUCGAUGACUGUACGACUAGAGUACUGUAGAGGGUAGUGGAAUUUCCGGUGUAGCGGUGAAAUGCGUAGAGAUCGGAAGGAACACCAGUGGCGAAGGCGGCUACCUGGACAGAUACUGACGCUGAGGCGCGAGAGCGUGGGGAGCAAACAGGAUUAGAUACCCCCGUAGUCC